rnacentral:rRNA from 1 species
CNUCCUGGGAUAACACUGACGUUCAUGCCCGAAAGCGUGGGUAGCAAACAGGAUUAGAUACCCUGGUAGUCCACGCCCUAAACGAUGUCGAUUAGCUGUUGGGCAGCAUGACUGCUUAGUAGCGAAGCUAACGCGUGAAAUCGACCGCCUGGGGAGUACGGUCGCAAGAUUAAAACUCAAAGGAAUUGACGGGGACCCGCACAAGCGGUGGAUGAUGUGGAUUAAUUCGAUGCAACGCGAAGAACCUUACCUGGUCUUGACAUGUACGGAACCCUCCAGAGACGGAGGGGUGCCUUCGGGAGCCGUAACACAGGUGCUGCAUGGCUGUCGUCAGCUCGUGUCGUGAGAUGUUGGGUUAAGUCCCGCAACGAGCGCAACCCUUGUCAUUAGUUGCCAUCAUUAAGUUGGGCACUCUAAUGAGACUGCCGGUGACAAGCCGGAGGAAGGUGGGGAUGACGUCAAGUCCUCAUGGCCCUUAUGACCAGGGCUUCACACGUCAUACAAUGGUCGGUACAGAGGGUAGCCAAGCCGCGAGGUGGAGCCAAUCUCACAAAACCGAUCGUAGUCCGGAUUGCACUCUGCAACUCGAGUGCAUGAAGUCGGAAUCGCUAGUAAUCGCAGGUCAGCAUACUGCGGUGAAUACGUUCCCGGGUCUUGUACACACCGCCCGUCACACCAUGGGAGUGGGGGAUACCAGAAGUAGGUAGGGUAACCGCAAGGAGCCC